ACCCUGGUAUCAACCUCAGGGAAGAGCA
rnacentral:tRNA from 4 species